CGAAAGAUUGAUUCAGUUACUUAUUAGAAUGAUAAUUUUUCAAAAUUAAAUUGAUUAAAAAUAAAAUUCAUAAUUAACUUAAAUAAUGAUAUAAGUUAUAAAAUCUAUAUUUUAUAUUAUAUUAUAUAUAUUUAAUAUAUAUAUAUAUAAUAAUUAAUAAUCCUUACCAAUAUUUGUGCCAGCAGCAGCGGUAAUACAAAGAGGGUAAACGUUAAUCAUAAUGGUUUAAAGAAUUCGUAGAAUUAUUAUAAAAUACCGUGUCGGUAGUAUCUACAAAGGUAGGUAUAAUUGAUGAGGUUAACAUAAUUAGAAUUAAUAAAUUUAAUUUAAGAAUUAUAAUAGUAAAGAUGAAAUAAUUAUGAUAAUUAUAAGACUUAUAUAUGUGAAAAUAUAAAUUAAAUAUUAAUUGACAUUGAGGAAUGAAAGCUAAAGUAGCAAUACGGAUUCGAUACCCGAGUAGUUUUAGCUGUAAACUAUGAAUACCUAUCGGGCCCUCUUGGGGUCCGAUUAAAUGAAAAUUAAAGUAUUCCACCUGAAGAGUAUAGUCGCAAGAUUGAAACUCAAGACAUUAGACGGUUACAGACUUAAGCAGUGGAGCAU
rnacentral:rRNA from 1 species